UGGGGAAUAUUGGACAAUGGGCGAAAGCCUGAUCCAGCCAUGCCGCGUGUGUGAAGAAGGUCUUCGGAUUGUAAAGCACUUUAAGUUGGGAGGAAGGGCAUUAACCUAAUACGUUAGUGUUUUGACGUUACCGACAGAAUAAGCACCGGCUAACUCUGUGCCAGCAGCCGCGGUAAUACAGAGGGCGCAAGCGUUAAUCGGAAUUACUGGGCGUAAAGCGCGCGUAGGUGGUUUGUUAAGUUGGAUGUGAAAUCCCCGGGCUCAACCUGGGAACUGCAUUCAAAACUGACUGACUAGAGUAUGGUAGAGGGUGGUGGAAUUUCCUGUGUAGCGGUGAAAUGCGUAGAUAUAGGAAGGAACACCAGUGGCGAAGGCGACCACCUGGACUAAUACUGACACUGAGGUGCGAAAGCGUGGGGAGCAAACA
rnacentral:rRNA from 1 species